GAAUACGGGCGCGAGCUCUCAGGGUUUUUAAAGCAAGUAAUGGUUGUUCACAACAAAGAUGUAAUCUUGUUGUCACAUAAAUCCUAUAAACCCUAGUGUCUGGCAGAAAAGUCAUCAAGAUGUACUGGCACUAUGAGUGAGAUUGCAUCACAGUAAAGACACUUCAGUUACUGUGAAAUGCCUGGUCGCAGCUGGACUCAAUACAUGUUGCAUGUCUGUGCCCAUUUGGAUGGCCUGUGAAAUUUGAAACAAAGAGGAAAAAUCCCUUCUGUUUGAGGCAUGUUGAACAGUGUGUGAGACCAGCCACAGCAUGGACAUCUGCACCAUCAUCAGAUGGGGUCAUUUUAGAGUACCUCCAAUGUGUCAUCAGACAUUGGUUUCUAUCUGAAAAAGAAAUACUUGACAGAAAGUGAGAUGGAGGCUAGCACGAGGCCACAGCUGACUCAUCCUUGUAUAGAGGGGACUCAGUGCAGGGCCAUGAAAGAGAAAUAGGAAUGGCUAAAUGAAUUCUGGGAUCUGCUCUAUUCAGCCAAACUCAAAAAGGAUAACCUCUUUAUUUCCAUUUAGAUACCAAAUGCAAGAUGUGAUCCAUCCUUCAGUGGUCACUGAUGUUAUGGAGCUCAUUCUGGCUGAGUGAGACUAACACUUGACUAUAAAAGCCAUUGAUUGGGGUGGCAUUAGAGAGAUUCUGUUGCUGUUUGUAAUAUUUCUUGGGGGUGCUGUGUAAUUGCUUGUGUUUCAGGACGUUUCUAGAGCCAUCAUUGGCUUCUGGCUCUCUUUGUUGACUUUGUCCCGCCUUUCCCCCCAAUAAACAAUCCUCCCAGCUGAUAGCAUGCCAGGUUCUGUUUGAAACAAUCAGUACUCGUGCCCCUCUCAAGUAUGCCAAACCCAUCAAUAGGCAGGGGAAGACAAACAGAGCCAUGCAGCUGUCCUCCGAACAAAAUGAAGCACUUCCGGGGCCAGUGAGGAGGAGCAGACCACUGGGUGCACCCUAAAUGGACCAUUGUACUCUCUCACAAAAACCUUCAGGAUCACACAGCACCCAAUUGUGAGCUGAGCAACACCCUUCCUCAUCUACCCACUAUACCCAUACCUACAAAUCACGCAUUUACCUUCACCCACCCCAGCCAUGUUUCUUCAUUCAUUCUCUCCCUCCCUCUUCUGGUCAGUGAAAUUUUGCUGUAUUGUU